GACGAACGCUGGCGGCGUGCCUAAUACAUGCAAGUAGAACGCUGAAGGAGGAGCUUGCUCUUCUGGAUGAGUUGCGAACGGGUGAGUAACGCGUAGGUAACCUGCCUGGUAGCGGGGGAUAACUAUUGGAAACGAUAGCUAAUACCGCAUAACAUUGACUAUUGCAUGAUAGUCAAUUGAAAGGUGCAAAUGCACCACUACCAGAUGGACCUGCGUUGUAUUAGCUAGUUGGUGGGGUAACGGCUCACCAAGGCGACGAUACAUAGCCGACCUGAGAGGGUGAUCGGCCACACUGGGACUGAGACACGGCCCAGACUCCUACGGGAGGCAGCAGUAGGGAAUCUUCGGCAAUGGACGGAAGUCUGACCGAGCAACGCCGCGUGAGUGAAGAAGGUUUUCGGAUCGUAAAGCUCUGUUGUAAGAGAAGAACGAGUGUGAGAGUGGAAAGUUCACACUGUGACGUAUCUACCAGAAAGGACGGUA
rnacentral:rRNA from 1 species